rnacentral:rRNA from 1 species
UGGGGAAUAUUGGACAAUGGGCGCAAGCCUGAUCCAGCCAUGCCGCGUGAGUGAUGAAGGCCCUAGGGUUGUAAAGCUCUUUCACCGGUGAAGAUAAUGACGGUAACCGGAGAAGAAGCCCCGGCUAACUUCGUGCCAGCAGCCGCGGUAAUACGAAGGGGGCUAGCGUUGUUCGGAUUUACUGGGCGUAAAGCGCACGUAGGCGGACUUUUAAGUCAGGGGUGAAAUCCCGGGGCUCAACCCCGGAACUGCCUUUGAUACUGGAAGUCUUGAGUAUGGUAGAGGUGAGUGGAAUUCCGAGUGUAGAGGUGAAAUUCGUAGAUAUUCGGAGGAACACCAGUGGCGAAGGCGGCUCACUGGACCAUUACUGACGCUGAGGUGCGAAAAGCGUGGGGAGCAAAACAGGAUUAGAUACCCUGGUAGUCCACGCCGUAAACGAUGAAUGUUAGCCGUUGGGGAGUUUACUCUUCGGUGGCGCAGCUAACGCAUUAAACAUUCCGCCUGGGGAGUACGGUCGCAAGAUUAAAAACUCAAAUGAAUUGAACGGGGUCAUAGCUGUUUCCU